rnacentral:lncRNA from 1 species
CACAACUCGUAGGUAUUUACACUAUCAUUCUUUUUUUUCAUUUUUUCUACUUGUCUGCAAUAUACACAAGAUGUUGAUAGAAUAUUAUCAACUUUCAUCAUUAUCCUAAAACAAACAAACAAAGAGAACCAUUCGUGUCCCUUGAUCGCAGUACAUUUACCACCUAUCCACGUGUCUGAUCCGUAGAAUUCUCUCCUACAUGUAUUUUAUUUGGUUAAGGAUGAUUCCCCAGGACAUGAGAUGAAAUUCAAUAUCAUUUAAUUUACAGAGAAAGUAUUCUGCGGAGACUGGAUUAUGCACUAUACCAUUGUGGUGGCAGUGCCUCCUUCUGCAAGGUAAACAGCAGUGCUGGAUUUGGAGUGCACUGCCCGGUCACCGCCGUUAUUGUUGACCUCGCAGUGCAGCGGCUCAGUGGAGAUGACCCAUGUCGAAGGACGCCAUCGCUUCAGUGAGUAAGGAGUUUUCACACGUUUCUUGAUCUUCUCUCCUGAGCCCGAUUUGCCGUCCUGUGAGGAGUCA